rnacentral:rRNA from 1 species
GGAUUCCCCUAGUAACUGCGAGUGAAGCGGGAAAAGCUCAAAUUUAAAAUCUGGCGGUCUUGGGCCGUCCGAGUUGUAAUCUAGAGAAGUGUUAUCCGCGCUGGACCGUGUACAAGUCUCCUGGAAUGGAGCGUCAUAGAGGGUGAGAAUCCCGUCUUUGACACGGACUACCAGGGCUUUGUGAUGCGCUCUCAAAGAGUCGAGUUGUUUGGGAAUGCAGCUCAAAAUGGGUGGUAAAUUCCAUCUAAAGCUAAAUAUUGGCGAGAGACCGAUAGCGAACAAGUACCGUGAGGGAAAGAUGAAAAGAACUUUGGAAAGAGAGUUAAACAGUACGUGAAAUUGCUGAAAGGGAAACGCUUGAAGUCAGUCGCGUUGACCAGGGAUCAACCUUGCUUUUGCUUGGUGUACUUCCUGAUUGACGGGUCAGCAUCAAUUUUGACCGUUGGAAAAAGUGCAAGGGAAUGUGGCAUCCUUUUGGAUGUGUUAUAGACUUUGUUCGUAUACAACGGUUGGGAUUGAGGAAUUCAGCACGCCGCAAGGCCGGGUUUUUAACCACGUUCGUGCUUAGGAUGCUGGCAUAAUGGCUUUAAUCGACCCGUCUUGAAACACGGACCAAGGAGUCUAACAUGCCUGCGAGUGUUUGGGUGGAAAACCCGAGCGCGCAAUGAAAGUGAAAGUUGAGAUCCCUGUCGCGGGGAGCAUCGACGCCCGGACCAGACCUUUUGUGACGGAUCCGCGGUAGAGCAUGUAUGUUGGGACCCGAAAGAUGGUGAACUAUGCCUGAAUAGGGUGAAGCCAGAGGAAACUCUGGUGGAGGCUCGUAGCGAUU